ACCGGCGAUACCCGAAUGGGGAAACCCAGUGUGAUUCGUCACACUAUCAUUAACUGAAUCCAUAGGUUAAUGAGGCGAACCGGGGGAACUGAAACAUCUAAGUACCCCGAGGAAAAGAAAUCAACCGAGAUUCCCCCAGUAGCGGCGAGCGAACGGGGAGGAGCCCAGAGCCUGAAUCAGCAUGUGUGUUAGUGGAAGCGUCUGGAAAGGCGCGCGAUACAGGGUGACAGCCCCGUACACAAAAGCGCAUGUGCUGUGAGCUCGAUGAGUAGGGCGGGACACGUGGUAUCCUGUCUGAAUAUGGGGGGACCAUCCUCCAAGGCUAAAUACUCCUGACUGACCGAUAGUGAACCAGUACCGUGAGGGAAAGGCGAAAAGAACCCCGGCGAGGGGAGUGAAAAAGAACCUGAAACCGU
rnacentral:rRNA from 1 species